UAUGAGGUUGCAUAAGGAGUGCAGAAGAUUUUGAGUCUUUUUGUGCGGGUUCGAGUCCUGUUCUUCUA
rnacentral:tRNA from 1 species